CAACUUAUUCCAAAGGAUAUUCCCCCAAAAGACUUUUGUCAUCCAAUAUUCACCAAAAUUCCCAAAAAAAAAAAAACGACCUAUUUUCCAUCAAAGAAAACAUAUUCCCAUAAACAUAGUAGUAGGGUGAAAAGAUUCAUUUAAUGAAAAAUCUCUUUUGAUUUUCAUUUAAACAAGAGCACAUCGCAAAGAGGAACAAAGAGAAAUUCGACUAAAAUUGAAGAAUCAGGUGGUGGCUAAGAAUUACGUGUGAGGGUCGAAUAUUUAGCUUUGCAUACAUUAUUGCUUGGUAUAAGUAAGGUUUUUGUUUUUUCCUUUCUUUUUUUAUUUGACAAUAAA
rnacentral:lncRNA from 1 species